CCCGCUGAGUUUAAGCAUAUCAAUAAGCGGARGAAAAGGAACUAACAAGGAUUCCCCUAGUAACGGCGAGCGAA
rnacentral:rRNA from 1 species